UGGGGAAUAUUGCACAAUGGGCGCAAGCCUGAUGCAGCGACGCCGCGUGGGGGAUGAAGGUUUUCGGAUUGUAAACUCCUGUUAAGUGGGAAAAAAGACCUGUACCUAAUACGUACGGGGGAUGAUGGUACCACUAGAGAAAGCACCGGCAAACUUCGUGCCAGCAGCCGCGGUAAUACGAAGGGUGCGAGCGUUAUUCGGAAUCACUGGGUGUAAAGAGCGUGUAGGCGGUUUCUUAAGUCAUUCGUUAAAGAGCUCGGCUUAACCGAGCAUAUGCGGGCGAAACUGGGAAACUAGAGUGCAGAAGAGAAGAGUGGAAUUCUCGGAGUAGCGGUAAAAUGCGUAGAUCUCGAGAGGAACACCGGUUGCGAAGGCGGCUCUUUGGUCUGUAACUGACGCUAAAGUGCGAAAGCGUGGGGAGCAAACAGG
rnacentral:rRNA from 1 species